AUUGAACGCUGGCGGCAGGCCUAACACAUGCAAGUCGAGCGGAUGAAGGGAGCUUGCUCCUGGAUUCAGCGGCGGACGGGUGAGUAAUGCCUAGGAAUCUGCCUGGUAGUGGGGGAUAACGUCCGGAAACGGGCGCUAAUACCGCAUACGUCCUGAGGGAGAAAGUGGGGGAUCUUCGGACCUGACGCUAUCAGAUGAGCCUAGGUCGGAUUAGCUAGUUGGUGGGGUAAAGGCCUACCAAGGCGACGAUCCGUAACUGGUCUGAGAGGAUGAUCAGUCACACUGGAACUGAGACACGGUCCAGACUCCUACGGGAGGCAGCAGUGGGGAACAUUGGACAAUGGGCGAAAGCCUGAUCCAGCCAUGCCGCGUGUGUGAAGAAGGUCUUCGGAUUGUAAAGCACUUUAAGUUGGGAGGAAGGGCAGUAAGUUAAUACCUUGCUGUUUUGACGUUACCAACAGAAUAAGCACCGGCUAACUUCGUG
rnacentral:rRNA from 1 species